rnacentral:rRNA from 1 species
AUGUCGAUCUCUUGGCCUCCUCUGCCUCGUGGCGCACCAGACCUUGGUCGUCCACCGUCUCCCCAUCCCCCAGUCCCUUCUGCGAUGUGCCUCAGAUCUUGGAGACGACCCACCGACGCGAUGCGUCCUACCCGGAGAAAUCGCCGGCGGUGCCAACUUGCGGCCAUCGCCUAUGUGGAAGGGUUCCAUGCUCUAGAGGAUUUGUUAAUCAAGUUUCGCCCAUGGAAAAUCAAUUUGCUGGAGCGCUCCUUUAUCCGUGUUGGACAGGGUGAAUUAGGGAGUAAUUGA